rnacentral:rRNA from 1 species
GCGGCGAGCGACAGGGAGAGUCCAGCACCGAAUCUCUAGCGCCCUGCGUGCUAGCGAAAUGUGGUGUUUAGGAGGGUCCGUAUUCCGGGGCUCGCCUUGCCGAGUCCAAGUCCUUCUUGAACGGGGCCAUGGUCCGCAGAGGGUGCCAGACCCGUAGCGGCCGGUGGCGUCCCCGGAUGGGCCUCUCCUUAGAGUCGGGUUGCUUGAGAGUGCAGCCUAAAGUGGGUGGUAAACUCCAUCUAAGACUAAAUAUAACCACGAGACCGAUAGCGAACAARGUACCGUGAGGGAAAGUUGAAAAGAACUUUGAAGAGAGAGUUCAAUAGUACGUGAAACCGUUCAGGGGUAAACGGGGAAGACUUGAAAAUCCGAAACGAGAGAUUCACGUCUUCCGCAGGGCACGUCAAGCCUGUCCGCGGAUGGCUUGCUCCCUCGCUCUGGCUUCGGCCCGGGCGUUGGUGGGCCGGUCGACCGGGCAAGUGCGACGAGCUCGCGGAGGGCCGCACUUCUCUCAGAGUAGGACGUCGCGACCCGUCCGGAGGCAUGCCUGAUGCCUGGCACGAAGUCCCGAGACCGUGGCGGCCUCACGGCCGUCGCCCUCGGGGCGGCCAAGGCAGGGUGGCGUUACGGACGGUAGUUUAAGACGGUGUCGGACCGCUCUCCGGAGCGCUUCUGGCCAUUUCCGAGUCGGACGUAGAGUGUGGUCGCGGGCCCUUCAGGGCCCGCACCGCUUUUCGCCUGGCUGUCGGGGAGUGGUUCUGAGGCAGAGUCUACAGCACCCGUCGGCGACGCCGCAGUUUCGAGCUCUUACCCGGCCCGUCUUGAAACACGGACCAAGGAGUCCAACGUGUGCGCGAGUCGCUGGGUGAAAAACCCAAUGGCGUAAUUAAGGUGAAGGGAAGUUCUCUUUCCUAGGGAGGAUCGGGGUUCGCCUUCAACGGGCGACUCCCCGCACUCCCGGGGCGUCUCUUGCUCAUUGCGAGUCGAGGCGCACCUAGAGCGUUCACGUUGGGACCCGAAAGAUGGUGAACUAUGCCUGGCCAGGACGAAGCCAGGGGAAACCCUGGUGGAGGUCCGUAGCGGUUCUGACGUGCAAAUCGAUCGUCGGAGCUGGGUAUAGGGGCGAAAGACUAAUCGAACCAUACUAGUAGCUGGUUCCCUCCGAAGUUUCCCUCAGGAUAGCUGGCGCCCAUGUGAGACGAGUCUCAUCUGGUAAAGCGAAUGAUUAGAGGCCUUGGGGUCGAAACGACCUCAACCUAUUCUCAAACUUUAAAUGGAUGAGAACCCCGGCUUGCUUGGCUUAGUGAAGCCGGGGCUCGGAUCCGGGUGCCAAGUGGGCCAUUUUUGGUAAGCAGAACUGGCGCUGUGGGAUGAACCAAACGCGGAGUUAAGGCGCCAAAAUCGACGCUCAUCAGACACCAUGAAAGGCGUUGGUUGCUUAAGACAGCAGGACGGUGGCCAUGGAAGUCGGAAUCCGCUAAGGAGUGUGUAACAACUCACCUGCCGAAGCAACUAGCCCUGAAAAUGGAUGGCGCUGUAGCGUCGUGCCUAUACUCCGCCGCCAACGGCAAACUCGGCGCGGUCUCCCAGUGGGACCGGUCGCUGUUACGCCUUGGUGAGUAGGAGGGCCGCGGCGAUGUGCGUAGAAGGGUCUAGGCGUGAGCCUGCCUGGAGCCGUCGCCGGCGCAGAUCUUGGUGGUAGUAGCAAAUACUCCAGCGAGGCCCUGGAGGACUGAUGUGGAGAAGGGUUUCUUGUGAACAGCCGUUGCACAAGAGUCAGUCGGUCCUAAGCCCUAGGAGAAAUCCGAUGCCGAUGGGCGCCGUUACCAAUGCCAACCCCCGAGGUUCCACACUGUCGUGUCUUGCCCCUUCCGCUUUGGUCUACGUCUCGCAAGAGCGUAUCAUGCCUGGCGGUGGGGUGAGUUCGGCUCGUGGCUUAGUCACGACUAAGUCUCGGGGAUUCGUUGACAGGUGAUGCUGGCGCCCUAGGUUGGGCGAAAGGGAAUCCGGUUCCUAUUCCGGAACCUGGCCGCGGAACCGUUUCCAGUCGUGCCCUCUGACGAGAGCUCGUCGGGGUAACCAAAAAAGACCCGGAGACGCCGUCGGGAGAUCCAGGGAGAGUUGUCUCUUCUCUAUAAGCGUUCGAGUUCCCUGGAAACCUCUAGCAGGGAGAUAGGGUUUGGAGCGCAAAGAGCACCGCAGUUACGGCGGUGUCUGGAUCUUCCCCUCGGACCUUGAAAAUCCGGGUGAGGGCUACGAGGAACACCGCGCCAGACCGUACCCAUAUCCGCAGCAGGUCUCCAAGGUCAACAGCCUCUAGUCGUUAGAAUAAUGUAGGUAAAGGAAGUCGGCAAACUGGAUCCGUAACCUUGGGAUAAGGAUUGGCUCUGAGGAUCGUGGUGAGCCGGGCUUGGUUGGGAAGUGGAGCGGUGUCAACGAUCCGGGCCUGGGCGAGGAGAGCGGCGCUUCGGCGUUCGUGAUUCUCUGCUCGGUCCCGGAC